GACGAACGCUGGCGGCGUGCUUAACACAUGCAAGUCGAACGGAAAGGCCCUGCUUUUGUGGGGUGCUCGAGUGGCGAACGGGUGAGUAACACGUGAGUAACCUGCCCUUGACUUUGGGAUAACUUCAGGAAACUGGGGCUAAUACCGGAUAGGAGCUCCUGCUGCAUGGUGGGGGUUGGAAAGUUUCGGCGGUUGGGGCUGGACUCGCGGCUUAUCAGCUUGUUGGUGUGGUAGUGGCUUACCAAGGCUUUGACGGGUAGCCGGCCUGAGAGGGUGACCGGCCACAUUGGGACUGAGAUACGGACCAGACUCCUACGGGAGGCAGUAGUGGGGAAUAUUGCACAAUGGGCGGAAGCCUGAUGCAGCAACGCCGCGUGCGGGAUGACGGCCUUCGGGUUGUAAACCGCUUUCGACUGUGACGAAGAGUGAGUGACGGUAAUGGGUAAAGAAGCACCGGCUAACUACGUG
rnacentral:rRNA from 1 species